GCACUCCUGCGGUGUUCGACGACCUCCCGGUUCCCCUUGAGCCUAAGUACCUAAACCGGGGUGGGAAACGUCGCAGGUGAGUACGCCCGCCUUGCUGCGGGAAACCUAAUGCGGCGUGGAACGCCCCACUUGAGCAUUCGUCUCAAGGAUAGUGGACGGUCGACGGCACAGGCGGGAGUGUC
rnacentral:other from 2 species